rnacentral:rRNA from 1 species
UACGUAGGGGGCAAGCGUUAUCCGGAUUUACUGGGUGUAAAGGGAGCGCAGACGGCAGUGCAAGUCUGGAGUGAAAGCCCGGGGCCCAACCCCGGAACUGCUCUGGAAACUGUGCGGCUAGAGUACUGGAGGGGCAGGCGGAAUUCCUAGUGUAGCGGUGAAAUGCGUAGAUAUUAGGAGGAACACCAGUGGCGAAGGCGGCCUGCUGGACAGUAACUGACGUCGAGGCUCGAAAGCGUGGGGAGCAAACAGG